rnacentral:snRNA from 1 species
AUGUCCCUUGAACCAAGGGAGGGUUAGCAAUCCCCUUGACAAGAACUGAAGUUGGCUUUGUUUUUUGAAGCUAAGAUAUUACUUCAAUGACAAAUGCAAUUGACGGUCUUGUCGGAUUUGAUA